UAACCCUGUAAACUGGAGAGUUCGUCGGGGUGAGCAUAUCCGUAACAUCAAGGCCCAUCUUCCUCAAAGUCUUGACGAAGAGUAUGUUGAGACCACUGCCACCAUCGAUGAGUACUUUUGUGAGUCUGGAGCCUACGACCACUGGGUCCAGGACGAGAGGGUAGCAUCUUGGGUCUGAGAAACUAGUCCACUCAUCCUUUCUGGAGAAGGUUAUUGUCACCUCGGGCCAUUUGAGGAACGUAGGUGUUG
rnacentral:lncRNA from 1 species